AUACCUAAACAUAAUCCGUAUACAGUCGCGUAUUUGUCUACGCCGCAUUUCACUAGUAUACGGUGUAUUCGGUGAGCUAUAGGUAGUAGUCGUCAGAUUCUACCGCCUAUACCUUGCUUAGGCAAAGUGCAAAAAAUGAAAAAACUCGCUGUCAUUUGCUCGUUUGCGAGGCGAAGAUGGCCGUCAAGGUGUUGUUGCUUUAAGACGCCGGGGCUCUAGCAUGUGUUAAUGUGUUGUUGCUACUGAUCGAUGGUUGGAGAUUGUGCGUCGACCGCCGGCUACUACUAGCUGGAGUAGCGGCGGUGUGUAUGACAACAAUUCCGGAUGGUUGUCGUUUUUGAUU
rnacentral:rRNA from 1 species